CAGGGGAGGUUGUUCUGUUGAGUAGGUAUCUGUCUGCUCUGCAGACAGAGGGAAGAGCAGCACCCUGAGCCUGGGAAGGCCUUGGCAUAUUGAAGGAGAGAGGAACAUUAGCCCUGAGCUAACAUCUGCUGCCAAUCCGACUCUUUUCACUGAGGAAGACUGGCCCUGAGUUAACAUCCGUGCCCAUCUUAUUUAUAUGUGGGAUGCCUGCCACAGCAUGGCUUGCUAAGUGGUGCCAUGUCUGCACCCAGGAUCCGAACUGGCAAACCCUGGGCCGCCAAAGCGGAACGUGCACACUUAACCACCAGAUCACUGGGCUGGCCCCUGACUGUCUUCUUUUGAGAUAAUAACUGGAUGGCCUAUGCAAUUAGAUGAGGAAAUAUAUGAACAAACUUUACUUAAGGGAGAUAUUACAUUGUUAUCAGGCUCCCAUUGAGAUGCUUAAAUGAAAGGUUGGUAGCUUAUUCUUUUCACAGAGCUCCCAGACCUUAAGGAUCAUGGACUACAACCUGAAGAAUUUAUUUAUCAAAAGAGGCAUCAAAUGAAAGACUCUUUGCAGCCUGUUGGAAAGGACCACACCAGGAUGAGAAGAAGAUGGCAUCUAUGUAGACAGCUGUCCCAAGACUCCGGACCAGGACUGUAUUCCCAACCUUGUGUCUCCGCAUUUAAACCUUUGUUAUGCUUAAACUGUAUACCUAUUUUAUAAUUGUUCCAUUUAAGGUUUCAAAAUACCAUCAUACUUAAAGUGACUGAUUUGGAACAGACUGGUCUUGAAGGCCAGGCAUUUAUCGGGUGAUUCAUAAUGGAAUUCAAUGGUUAUGUGGAACAAAUCUCUGUCCUUGGCUACUGCCUGGAUGGCUAAAACACUGCACCCUGAGUUUCCCUUGGAUGCAGGGAAGGAUUCAGACUGAGCUAGCAUCUGUUGCCAAUCUCCCUCUCCUUAAGGCCAGAUGAGCUCAUUCAGUGUUCCACUGGUGUGACCACAGAGAAGCUAGCUUCAGUUCUUCCUCCUUUGGGGCUAGAAGAUGUCAGAUCACAUACAGAAGCCCUUCACAGUAGUCAAGCAGGAAUAGCCCUACUAGACACUGAAAUGUCUUUAAUGAGAAAAGCUGUCCUUCAAAAUAGAAUGGCCUUAGAUAUUCUUACAACAUCCCAAGGUGGUACAUAUAAAUCAUUCAAACUGAAUGCUGUGUUUUUAUACUUGAGGGAUCUUCCAAUGUGUCGUCUCUGCUAAAGCACACACACACACACACACACGCAAAAAGCAGGUGCAUGCCUUAAGCAAUCUUAUACCUGGUCUUGAUUUGUUUACCUGGCUCCCUUCUGGUAUUGGCUUCCUUUUGUGAUCUGGAUUGCAAUUCCUACUUCUAUUACUCCUUGGAAUUCUUGUAUUGGUCAUAAUCUUCAAACUAAUUACUGUUUUCACAGUGUUGGAUGACUGGCAUGCAAGCUAGACUAAUGAUUGCUCAGCAACUUGAGAUGGUUAAUGGAUCCUACAACCCUGAAUGAGUCCCCUUUUAUUAAGGCCAUGCCUAAGAAUUCAUUUUUAAGCUAAUCAUUUCAAGUAUUGGAUUACCUGUUCUAUGAUUGUUAUAAACAAUGUAACUAUAAUAAGUCAUGUAAAACCACAUGGCAACGUUUGUGUGAUAAUCUAAAAUAGUUAAGUUAUGUAGCCUAUGAAACACUUCCCUUAUUAAUAUAUACCUCUGUGCUUGUCCACUAUAUCUGACUAUUUCCCCUCAACAUGGAUAACUGGGCAAAUCAAUGAAAUAAAAGCCUAGCAUCGAGGGACAUGAUGGACUGAGGGCAGGCAGCAACCACCCUGGUACUGAGGGACAAUAUUUUGAUCAGCAGUGCUUUCUAUUAAAAGAUUAUUGAUCAAAAGUGGGCAAUGACAAGAGAUUUUCACAUAUUGAGGUAGAUAGGGUAACUAUUCAAGUUCAAAACUGAUUUGGCUUGAACUAGAAAGCCUGACUUAUGGCCUGUCAAACAUACAUUGUUCAUCUGCUUAUCCAUUAAAGUAAGGAAUCUCUCUUGAGAGAAAGAAUGCAUACUCCCCCUCCUACACCCUAUUGGUAACAACACCCUAUUGGUAACGCCUGGAUUAGUCCCUUUCCUGGCAUCAUGGUUAUGUUGACCUGCUAGUUUGCAACUGAACACCUCUUUGAAAAUGUAUCCUGGGUGUGUUUAAUGUAUCUUCUUUGUUCUAGAAAGAUCUGAGACUAUACUGAGACUCAUGCUUCUCUGGAACAAAUGCCUUCUGAGGUCUUCCCAGGUUAUGAUCCUCACUUUGGCUCAUAAUAAACUCAC
ensembl:lncRNA